CCCAUGCCCAAGAGUGACUUCUGCGGACCUUCAGAGCCACAGGCCAGUCCAGUGUCCCCGGACCUCCCACAGGCUCUGUCCACUCCCCGCCUCCACACGGGACUCAUCGUCACCCCUGUCAAGCUGCCUUUGCCCUUGUGGGUCUUUACCUUGAUCUCUGGCGACAGCACUCGGCCAGUCACCCAAUAAACAAAUGCAGACAUCGUCCCCAGUUUCUUCUCCUUCUUCUCUGACCUUGCCCUGUGCCCCCUCCCCCAGCCAUUGCAAUCUGUCACCACACCCUGCGGGUUCUAGGCACACCUCCUAG
rnacentral:lncRNA from 1 species